rnacentral:ncRNA from 1 species
UCUAUGCUUCCGCGAGAGGUCCCCUCUUUGGGGCCCCAAGCACCAGUUGGUGAAAGGGCUUAGGCCCGCUCUUCCAGCUGGCGCCCGGCGGUUCAGGCGCUUGCGUCUGUGCCAUCGGGGCCCCGACGGGCUACGCCUGUCGGAGGGGUGGCCCACCACCUCGAUCCCGUCCCCUCGAGGAACGACUCGAUGA